CACAUACUCCCUCCGUCCGGAAAUACUUGUCAUGAAAAUGGAUAAAAAGAGGUGUAUCUAGAACUAAAAUACAUCUAAAUACAUCCCCUUUUAUUCAUCUUGAUGACAAGUAUUUCCGGACGGAGGGAGUACAUU
rfam:Triticum urartu cultivar G1812 contig1161199, whole genome shotgun sequence.